rnacentral:rRNA from 1 species
UACGUAGGGUGCAAGCGUUGUCCGGAAUUAUUGGGCGUAAAGAGCUCGUAGGCGGCCUGUCACGUCGGCUGUGAAAACCCGGGGCUCAACCCCGGGCCUGCAGUCGAUACGGGCAGGCUAGAGUCCGGCAGGGGAGACUGGAAUUCCUGGUGUAGCGGUGAAACGCGCAGAUAUCAGGAGGAACACCGGUGGCGAAGGCGGGUCUCUGGGCCGGAACUGACGCUGAGGAGCGAAAGCGUGGGGAGCGAACAGG